rnacentral:rRNA from 1 species
CUUUGCAAGAAUAAAAAUAAAAUUCCAAACCCGAAAUUAUGUGAGCUGGUUUAUAUUUGUUAAGCACCCAUUACUAAGUGUCACAAUACUUAUAAAAAAAUCUAAAUCAGAGGCUACAUACCUUACGCACAUAAUUAUAGCUGGUUUCCUCUCCCCCAGUAUAAGCUGAAUCAAUUGUCUCUCUCACUUUCACUUCCUUAACAAUUAAUUAAAUCGAUCGAGGAUAAGCUCUAUCAUCCUUCUUAUUUCUACAAAAUCCCAUCCCCUAGUAGGCCUAAAACCAGCCACCUAUACCGCGUCAUAGCAAACCAUACGUCUAUAUCCUAUCUAAAUACCCACAACAGGAAACAAUCUUAACCCACUUAGAAUUAAUACUAUGCAAAGAUUAGUAUCUUUAUCCCACUAAAAUAUAAAACCACAAUAUAUAAACAAGGAACUCGGCAAACAUAAUUUUCGCCUGUUUACCAAAAACAUUGCCUGUUGAUUUUAAUUCUAUAACAGGUAAGUCCUGCCCAGUGAAUAUCUUAAACGGCCGCGGUAUCCUGACCGUGCAAAGGUAGCAUAAUCAUUUGCCUUCUAAUUAGAGGCUCGUAUGAACGGAUAGACGAAAAAUUCCCUGUCUCCUUUAUAUUCUUAUAAAUUAACCCUUAGGUGAAGAGGCCUAAAUCUACUUAAAAGACAAGAAGACCCUGCUGAGCUUUAACUUAAACGGAACUUUUCCUUCCAAAGCCCAUUCUCCCUUUAGUUUUGUUGGGGCGACAAGGGAGCAAAAAAAACCUCCCCACCAAAGAAGAUCCCCAUUCUACUAAAUGACCCAUUUUUUGAUCCAAGAUAUUAGCUACCACAGGGAUAACAGACUAAUUUUCCUUAAGAGUCCACAUUUACAGGAAAGUUUGGCACCUCGAUGUUGGCUUAGGAACCCUUCUAAAUGCAGCCGUUUAAAAAGGGGGU